GGCCCUGCCCACACCGAAAACUCAUUGGACUGAAGUAGCCAUUCUCAUGUAUAUUAAUUAUCAAAUAUGGACGAGCGGACACUGAUUAUGUAAAUUUAGAAUCGGAUUACAAACAAAUCCCUCAAAUUAAGCGUCACGGACAGGUCAAGGAGACGGUCGCCAGUCAGAUCACCAGCCGCAAACGGAUGGCCCUUCCACACCGGUGAAGAAACCUUCACCUGCCCUGACCUCGCCAACACAAGCAGUCCAAACAGACAGAGCGCAAAAUGGCAAAAGAGAUAUUAAACAAUGCAGUUUCCUUCAAGUAUUUCCUAGUGCUCAUGCUUAUGGACCGUCCUACUUACACAUGUGUGGUGACAGCCUGGUACUGCUGUGUGCAUCCAGGACUAAAUUUGACAGUUGGCUACAUGUGGCAGCCUCUUCUCUCUCCCAGCCUUCGUCUCUUUCUGUCUCCCAAGAGCGCCGUCAGUAUGAAGAGGCCCGAGGACGCCAUCUCAUCUUCUCUCAGCCGGUGUCAAGCAGCAAUCCUGCAGGGCCCGUCCCUGCUUAAUUCAGCUUAGAGGCCCUCUCUCAUCCCCGACAUUCCUGAUCGCCUAAUUUUUCCGGGUAUGCCUCUCAGGGCUGAGAAAGGUGGGGAACCCGCCUGAGGAGGAUUUCUUCAGACAUCCCCCUGAUCUAUCAAACUCCACGUUGGACACCAGGAGCAGCAGGUGUUAAAGUCUUCAUUCGUUUCUGUCUUGGUUAUGGAUGACUUGGCUGUAUGAAAUUACUCAAAUGGUGGCUGGCCAUUAAAUUCACAAGGAAUCAGGUAUACAGUAAAUGGGAAG